rnacentral:rRNA from 1 species
AAAUUGAAGAGUUUGAUCAUGGCUCAGAUUGAACGCUGGCGGCAGGCCUAACACAUGCAAGUCGAGCGGUAGCACAGAAGAGCUUGCUCUUCGGGUGACGAGCGGCGGACGGGUGAGUAAUGUCUGGGAAACUGCCUGAUGGAGGGGGAUAACUACUGGAAACGGUAGCUAAUACCGCAUAACGUCUUCGGACCAAAGAGGGGGACCUUCGGGCCUCUUGCCAUCGGAUGUGCCCAGAUGGGAUUAGCUAGUAGGUGAGGUAAUGGCUCACCUAGGCGACGAUCCCUAGCUGGUCUGAGAGGAUGACCAGCCACACUGGAACUGAGACACGGUCCAGACUCCUACGGGAGGCAGCAGUGGGGAAUAUUGCACAAUGGGCGCAAGCCUGAUGCAGCCAUGCCGCGUGUGUGAAGAAGGCCUUCGGGUUGUAAAGCACUUUCAGCGGGGAGGAAGGCGAUAAGGUUAAUAACCUUGUCGAUUGACGUUACCCGCAGAAGAAGCACCGGCUAACUCCGUGCCAGCAGCCGCGGUAAUACGGAGGGUGCAAGCGUUAAUCGGAAUGACUGGGCGUAAAGCGCACGCAGGCGGUCUGUUAAGUUGGAUGUGAAAUCCCCGGGCUUAACCUGGGAACUGCAUUCAAAACUGACAGGCUAGAGUCUUGUAGAGGGGGGUAGAAUUCCAGGUGUAGCGGUGAAAUGCGUAGAGAUCUGGAGGAAUACCGGUGGCGAAGGCGGCCCCCUGGACAAAGACUGACGCUCAGGUGCGAAAGCGUGGGGAGCAAACAGGAUUAGAUACCCUGGUAGUCCACGCUGUAAACGAUGUCGACUUGGAGGUUGUGCCCUUGAGGCGUGGCUUCCGGAGCUAACGCGUUAAGUCGACCGCCUGGGGAGUACGGCCGCAAGGUUAAAACUCAAAUGAAUUGACGGGGGCCCGCACAAGCGGUGGAGCAUGUGGUUUAAUUCGAUGCAACGCGAAGAACCUUACCUACUCUUGACAUCCACAGAAUUUGGUAGAGAUACCUUAGUGCCUUCGGGAACUGUGAGACAGGUGCUGCAUGGCUGUCGUCAGCUCGUGUUGUGAAAUGUUGGGUUAAGUCCCGCAACGAGCGCAACCCUUAUCCUUUGUUGCCAGCGAGUAAUGUCGGGAACUCAAAGGAGACUGCCGGUGAUAAACCGGAGGAAGGUGGGGAUGACGUCAAGUCAUCAUGGCCCUUACGAGUAGGGCUACACACGUGCUACAAUGGCGUAUACAAAGAGAAGCGACCUCGCGAGAGCAAGCGGACCUCAUAAAGUACGUCGUAGUCCGGAUUGGAGUCUGCAACUCGACUCCAUGAAGUCGGAAUCGCUAGUAAUCGUAGAUCAGAAUGCUACGGUGAAUACGUUCCCGGGCCUUGUACACACCGCCCGUCACACCAUGGGAGUGGGUUGCAAAAGAAGUAGGUAGCUUAACCUUCGGGAGGGCGCUUACCACUUUGUGAUUCAUGACUGGGGUGAAGUCGUAACAAGGUAACCGUAGGGGAACCUGCGGUUGGAUCACCUCCUUACC